ensembl:snoRNA SNORA70 Small nucleolar RNA SNORA70
UCACGUCCAACUGAGCUAAUGACUCCCCUUUCUUUAGGGGGGCCUGAUGUGCUGUGGCCACAAACAGCAGCCACCUAGGGAGUGUACACAACCUACUGCUUGUAUGGGCUGCCCGGUGGGACCUUGGAGGCAGCC